rnacentral:rRNA from 1 species
AGAGUUUGAUCCUGGCUCAGACGAACGCUGGCGGCGUGCUUAACACAUGCAAGUCGAACGAUGAAGCCCUUCGGGGUGGAUUAGUGGCGAACGGGUGAGUAACACGUGGGCAAUCUGCCCUUCACUCUGGGACAAGCCCUGGAAACGGGGUCUAAUACCGGAUAACACUCUGUCCCGCAUGGGACGGGGUUGAAAGCUCCGGCGGUGAAGGAUGAGCCCGCGGCCUAUCAGCUUGUUGGUGGGGUGAUGGCCUACCAAGGCGACGACGGGUAGCCGGCCUGAGAGGGCGACCGGCCACACUGGGACUGAGACACGGCCCAGACUCCUACGGGAGGCAGCAGUGGGGAAUAUUGCACAAUGGGCGAAAGCCUGAUGCAGCGACGCCGCGUGAGGGAUGACGGCCUUCGGGUUGUAAACCUCUUUCAGCAGGGAAGAAGCGAAAGUGACGGUACCUGCAGAAGAAGCGCCGGCUAACUACGUGCCAGCAGCCGCGGUAAUACGUAGGGCGCAAGCGUUGUCCGGAAUUAUUGGGCGUAAAGAGCUCGUAGGCGGCUUGUUGCGUCGGUUGUGAAAGCCCGGGGCUUAACCCCGGGUCUGCAGUCGAUACGGGCAGGCUAGAGUGUGGUAGGGGAGAUCGGAAUUCCUGGUGUAGCGGUGAAAUGCGCAGAUAUCAGGAGGAACACCGGUGGCGAAGGCGGAUCUCUGGGCCAUUACUGACGCUGAGGAGCGAAAGCGUGGGGAGCGAACAGGAUUAGAUACCCUGGUAGUCCACGCCGUAAACGUUGGGAACUAGGUGUUGGCGACAUUCCACGUCGUCGGUGCCGCAGCUAACGCAUUAAGUUCCCCGCCUGGGGAGUACGGCCGCAAGGCUAAAACUCAAAGGAAUUGACGG